UCCUCACCCCUGUUGACCACAAAUCCUUCAACUCUUUUAUCAGUGGUUUUAGGAAAACAUCCAGGGACCUUUUUGGAUGGUUCGGACCAGGUAUUAAUAUGGUCAAGAAUAGCAAUUCCCGUUGCAUGCACAUCUCCGGUGGCAGAUUGUAUGGUGUAAGAAAGACUGGCCACAAUGAAUAUUGUUUCCCUGACAUUCCAAACUGACUAAAUCCAUCUGUCCAUAGUCCGAGAUACACAUUGCGGCUAUUGCUAGCGAAAUCCGGAUAUACUUUGUUGAAAUGUUUCCAGGCUCUUGCAUCUGAUGGAUGAGUCAUC
rnacentral:lncRNA from 1 species